AUUGAACGCUGGCGGCAUGCUUUACACAUGCCAGUCGAACGGCAGCGCGGGCUUCGGCCUGGCGGCGAGUGGCGAACGGGUGAGUAAUACAUCGGAACGUGCCCAGUAGUGGGGGAUAGCUCGGCGAAAGCCGGAUUAAUACCGCAUACGACCUGAGGGUGAAACCGGGGGAUCUUCGGACCUCUCGCUAUUGGAGCGGACGAUGGCAGAUUAGCUAGUUGGUGGGGUAAAGGCCUACCGAGGCGACGAUCUGUAGCUGGUCUGAGAGGACGACCAGCCACACGGGGACUGAGACACGGCCCAGACUCCUACGGGAGGCAGCAGUGGGGAAUUUUGGACAAUGGGCGAAAGCCUGAUCCAGCAAUGCCGCGUGUGUGAUGAAGGCCUUCGGGUUGUAAAGCACUUUUGGCGGGAACGAAAAGGACUGUGCCAAUACCACGGUUCGAUGACGGUACCCGCAGAAUAAGCACCGGCUAACUACGUG
rnacentral:rRNA from 1 species